rnacentral:rRNA from 1 species
AGUUAGCGGUGGACCGGUGAGUAACACGUUGGGUAACCUGCCCAUAUGACUGGGAUAUUUCCUGGAAACCGGGGCGUAAUACACGGNAUAACCCUUCUUUAAUCUGUCAUGGUUAUCGACAAAUUGUGAAUCGGGCUUGCCUCCCUCUGAUAUUCUAAUUAAGCGGGGUAGACAUUGAUUACUCUCCUGCGCCUGUAGUGAGACGAAUUAACGGGAGUCCGCGAUUGUUCACUUUCGAUCGUUGCUGCAUGUAAACUAGGGAUCCUCAUGCCUGAUUGAUUAUCGCGCUUUAGAUGCCCGACCCUACACGACCCUAGCAGCCCACCCUUUGCUGUAGCGUUGAGAAUUUGAUCUGCAUAUUAGCCACCCGACAUCCUUCUCUCAAUUUUUGUUUUGGCAUGAACCUCCUCCUCCUUUUUUCGCUAAUGGCAUGUAAUCUGCUAUGUAUCCAUUCUCAUUGCACCUCCUAUCUCUGUCUUCAGCAAUAUAAGCAUCCACUCCUCUCAAUGUGUCCUACCUUUUCUAUCGCUUCUGACCUUUGUUUCGGGAUUAUCUCGUUUAUAACCUCUUUCUACUUCCUGUAUUUCUAGUCGUGGUCUUUAUAAGGUGUGUAUUUUUUUUUAGUGUCCCUGUUGUAUGAAACAGUCUCUUUAUUCCGUUCAUAGUUUCUUUCUUAACCCUAACUCCGUCUCCAUAUGAUUACCCCCGCGUGAAUACUGGUGCUGUUUAUUUUUCUCUUUCCCUCUUACGUUACCUCUCAUCCUGUGGGUUAUUUAAUACAAGCUUCCA